AAUGAUUAGAGGUUCGGGGGUUGAAAUGACCUUCACCUAUUCUCAAACUUUAAAUCGGUAAGAUGGGCCCGUUACUUCAGUGAACAGGCUCUUGAAUGCAGCGCUCUUAGUGGGCCAUUUUUGGUAAGCAGAACUGGCAACGAGGGGUCAACCUAAGGAGAGGUUGAGGCGACAAAUUGACUGCUCAUAGAUGGAAAGGUGUUGGUUCAUUUAGACAGUAGGACGGUGGCCAUGGAAGUCGGAAUCCGCUAAGGAGUGUGUAACAACUCACCUACCGAAUGGACUAGCCCUGAAAAUGGAUGUCGCUAAGCAGUUAGCCGAUACCUCUCCGUCUGGCUCUAGGUAACCAGGCGAGUAGGAGGGCGUGAGGAUAGCGUGGAAGUGUGAAUGUGAAUUCACAUGGAGCUGUUCUUAGUGCAGAUCUUGGUGAUAGUAGCAGCUAUUCAAGAAAGACCCUUGAAGACUGAAGUGGAGAAGGGUUUCAUGAGAACAACACUUGGUCAUGAGUGACUCGGUCCUAAGGUGAUUAUAGCCGAAAGGGAAAAAGGUUAAAAUUCCUUUAGCUAGCAGUGGGUCUUGUGUGGUAACACAACUGAGCUCAGAGACGUCGGAGUGGAACCCCAGGGAGAGUUCUCUUUUCUUCUUAACAAGUCGCCGCCCUGGAGGUCGUUGUGACGAGAGAGGGCCAUAGACUUGGCAGAGCAGUGCACCCUUUGCGCUGUCUGGUGCGUUUCCUUCGACCCUUGAAAAUCUGAGGGAACUUUGAUCGCUUGCUAGGCCGUACCCACAACCGCAUCAGGUCUCCAAGGU
rnacentral:rRNA from 1 species